UGAACUUAUCUGUAUCCCUCUUUUCUAAACUGCAGACAUACGGUUACUACCUUGCAUAUUUCUAGAUGAACGACAACUUGACUAGAAAUUCUCUCGGGGUCAAGGAGGGAACAACCAGUGAGUGGAUAAGGUGCAUCAAAGGACUUCCCUACACAUUUGAUAUGCCAAGCAGCAUACCGUACCAUCUCAACCUUACCACAAAAGGUUACCAUGCACUUGUAUACAGUGGAGACCAUGAUCUACAGGUGCCAUUGCUCGGGACAC